GACGGAGGGUGCUAGCGUUGUUCGGAAUGACUGGGCGUAAAGGGCUCGUAGGCGGCCAACUAAGUCGGACGUGAAAUCCCCAGGCUCAACCUGGGAACUGCGUCCGAUACUGGAUGGCUUGAAUCCGGGAGAGGGAUGCAGAAUUCCAGGUGUAGCGGUGAAAUGCGUAGAUAUCUGGAGGAAUACCGGUGGCGAAGGCGGUUCUCUGGGCAUGAUCUGACGCUGAGGAGCGAAAGUGUGGGGAGCGAACAGG
rnacentral:rRNA from 1 species